rnacentral:rRNA from 1 species
GACGAACGCUGGCGGCGUGCUUAACACAUGCAAGUCGAGCGGUAAGGCCCUUUCGGGGGUACACGAGCGGCGAACGGGUGAGUAACACGUGGGUGACCUGCCCUCAGCUCUGGGAUAAGCCUGGGGAACUGGGUCUAAUACCGGAUAUGACUCCAUGACGCAUGUUGUGGGGUGGAAAGCCUUGUGCGGCUGAGGAUGGGCCCGCGGCCUAUCAGCUUGUUGGUGGGGUGAUGGCCUACCAAGGCGACGACGGGUAGCCGGCCUGAGAGGGCGACCGGCCACACUGGGACUGAGACACGGCCCAGACUCCUACGGGAGGCAGCAGUGGGGAAUCUUGCGCAAUGGGCGAAAGCCCUGACGCAGCGACGCCGCGUGAGGGAUGACGGCCUCGGUGUAACUACUU